rnacentral:lncRNA from 1 species
GCACAGACAGCUCGGGAAUUUAUGCCGGUGGCGGAGGCCUGGGCGCGCGCACGCGGCGCGUCCCCGGCAGCCGGGCUCGGGCUUGGCGGCCCUAGCAGAGGCAUCGCCACCCGGGGCCGGGCCGUCCUACGGCUGGCGAGGCUCUGCAGCGACCCGGGCUUCCUCCUCCACCCCACCGCCUGCACGGACUGCCCUUCCGGGCGGCUCCCAGGAGCGCCAAGACCUGCAGUGGUCGUGGCGCAGGUGGCCUUGGCAAGAGCCGGUCUCCCGGAGAGGGACCCUCCCAAGUGACCGUCCAGGGGCACCAAGGGCCAUUUGGCUGAUGAGAACCGCUCCCAGGCAGCGGCCUUGGGGCCUCGGGAGCCCCCUCCCCCAUCCUUCCCUUCCAGAACCCGCUUUUCCAGCUCGGCAGCAGCGUCAGGUUUCUGGCGUGUGGAUUGUUUUCCACCCCUGGGGCUUGGGUGGGAAGAGCGAAGACAGGAAAGCGGUUGCCCACGUCGUGUGUUCUGCCGUUCCCGCACCGCCUCCUCCAGAGGCGCCCCGGGGACCCUCCUAGCUGAAACAAACACAGAAACCCGGCCGUCUUAACAAAAAAGGCGCAGAUGCUGGGGCGCUUAGCAAGCCGGGCCUUUUGGACAAACAUGAGGGAGAGGCCAUGAACAGUACUGCUAUUUGCUGGAGCUCUUGGUGAGCAGUAAAUAGCACGCAAGUCUCAAGACCCAGAGAAGGGCGUGGCUUCGUCCCAGUGUCGAGCAAACUGGUGGCAGAGUUGGAAGACCCAUCCCAGACGUAUCUCUGCCGGAUGAGGUCGGGGGGGGGGGGGGGGGGGGGGGGGGGGGGUCCGGCAGAGUAUCCCUCACUGAGCUGGGAUGCAGAAAGAAAACACCCGUCCCAGGCCUCUCAGAGGAGCCAGAGAAAUAAACAAGCAAAAUACGGUGUGCUUCGAGCUGGGAAGAGGCGGGAGCCCGGGAGACAUGCCAGGGGAGGCCAGAGAAGGUGCUCCCUGCAAAGGCAGGGCUGUGGGAGGACAGGGCAGGCGCAGUUGGCUGCGGACCCCAGGAGCCCCACGUUCCCAGGCUCCGCAGACACCCAGGUUGCAGAGAGUCUGCGACACCACCAAAGUGGAGGCGCUUCUCUGAAGGAUGGAAAAAUCGAUGCCCACGGAAGAGCGGGAGCAGCGCUGGGGAGGAGACCAAGGGCAGCGGGGGAGUCAGGCGCCUGGGGUCCCGAGGCUGCGGCGCUGGCCGUUCCCCACCGUUCAGAACAAAGUCAGAGGCGGGUGUGGUCAGCACAGGCCUGGCCGUGUGGGUUUGUUUUCUCUUAUUUUGUUCAGAUUUCCGAAGCUCUCUAGGUUCGUGUAGAAAAUCAAGAUGAGUGAGUCCACCCUCGGAGGUAUCCUCCCUGCUCACGUGCAUAGUAAAUCCUUCUGGCCUUUUUCCUCUGCACGCUGAAUGUGCUUUUCAUUUUUGCAAAAAUAGGACGUGCUUGACUGCUUUUUUUUUUCUUC